rnacentral:rRNA from 1 species
UGGGGAAUUUUGGACAAUGGGCGCAAGCCUGAUCCAGCCAUGCCGCGUGCGGGAAGAAGGCCUUCGGGUUGUAAACCGCUUUUGUCAGGGAAGAAAUCUUCUGGGUUAAUACCUCGGGAGGAUGACGGUACCUGAAGAAUAAGCACCGGCUAACUACGUGCCAGCAGCCGCGGUAAUACGUAGGGUGCAAGCGUUAAUCGGAAUUACUGGGCGUAAAGCGUGCGCAGGCGGUUAUGUAAGACAGAUGUGAAAUCCCCGGGCUUAACCUGGGAACUGCAUUUGUGACUGCAUAGCUAGAGUACGGUAGAGGGGGAUGGAAUUCCGCGUGUAGCAGUGAAAUGCGUAGAUAUGCGGAGGAACACCGAUGGCGAAGGCAAUCCCCUGGGCCUGCACUGACGCUCAUGCACGAAAGCGUGGGGAGCAAACAGGAUUAGAUACCCUGGUAGUCCACGCCCUAAACGAUGUCAACUGGUUGUUGGGUCUUCACUGACUCAGUAACGAAGCUAACGCGUGAAGUUGACCGCCUGGGGAGUACGGCCGCAAGGUUG